ensembl:misc_RNA Metazoa_SRP Metazoan signal recognition particle RNA
GCCAGGCAUGGUGGCGAAUGCCUGCAGUCCUGCUUACUUGGGAGGCUGAAGUGGGAGGAUUGCUUGAGCCCAGGAGGCCGAGGCUGCAGUGAGCCCAGAUGCCACCACUGCACUUCAGCCUGGGCAACAGAGCGAGACCCCAUCUCAA